AACUCUCUCCCUCCCUUUCUUUCCUUUUGCCUUCUUAAACUUCAUCUCCCUCUCUUAUCCCCUUAGAGAUGGCGCCAAAUCGUUCUUCUUUUUCCAUCCUCUUGGUGCUUGUCUUGAUGCUCUUCUCCCAAGCUUUUGCACGAGAAUUAAUGGUAAAGAAACAAGGUUAUGAGUACGCACCCCCUUCUCCCGUAUCGUCCCCGGUCACUGCAUACAGCGUACCGCCACCUCCUUGCUGCGAUGGUGAAGAAAAGGAGGUGCCCAGUGCUGACCAAUUCAAGGGCGAGGAGCAAGGAGGGCACUGAGUUUGCGCCCAUGGCAGACGUGGAGGCGGCAGAUCAUGAUCAGAAAAAUCCAGCACUUCCUCAAUAAUCAAGAGGAGGAAGAAGGAAUACUGCUACCCAGAAUGCAUGCAACUCAUCCUCUCUCGUUAGUCCAGCCUACACGUCUCCAGAGCGAAGAUUCGUCAUCCUCCAUGACUGCAGUAGCUAGCAGUGAUCUAUUCAUUUACAACUUGGUAGCAUGUUUUGUUGAAAAGUUCUUGGAACCUUUGUUUGCAGUUGUUGUCUAUAAGUCUGUGGCCAGUGUGGUUUGUAUAAGAUCACUGCGAGCAAAGUGGUGGCUUUCAAUGGACACUGGGGUUAAAUAAUAUCACUGCUUCUAAAGUGUUGGGUUUCUUAUAUAUAUGUAUCUCAACUAAAGACGUUUCUGUUUUUCCUUAA